rnacentral:rRNA from 1 species
AUUGAACGCUGGCGGCAGGCCUAACACAUGCAAGUCGAACGGUAGCACAGAGAGCUUGCUCUCGGGUGACGAGUGGCGGACGGGUGAGUAAUGUCUGGGAAACUGCCUGAUGGAGGGGGAUAACUACUGGAAACGGUAGCUAAUACCGCAUAACGUCGCAAGACCAAAGAGGGGGACCUUCGGGCCUCUUGCCAUCAGAUGUGCCCAGAUGGGAUUAGCUAGUAGGUGGGGUAACGGCUCACCUAGGCGACGAUCCCUAGCUGGUCUGAGAGGAUGACCAGCCACACUGGAACUGAGACACGGUCCAGACUCCUACGGGAGGCAGCAGUGGGGAAUAUUGCACAAUGGGCGCAAGCCUGAUGCAGCCAUGCCGCGUGUAUGAAGAAGGCCUUCGGGUUGUAAAGUACUUUCAGCGAGGAGGAAGGCAUUAAGGUUAAUAACCUUGGUGAUUGACGUUACUCGCAGAAGAAGCACCGGCUAACUCCGU